rnacentral:rRNA from 1 species
GACGAACGCUGGCGGCGUGCCUAAUACAUGCAAGUUGAGCGCUGAAGGUUGGUACUUGUACCAACUGGAUGAGCAGCGAACGGGUGAGUAACGCGUGGGGAAUCUGCCUUUGAGCGGGGGACAACAUUUGGAAACGAAUGCUAAUACCGCAUAAAAACUUUAAACACAAGUUUUAAGUUUGAAAGAUGCAAUUGCAUCACUCAAAGAUGAUCCCGCGUUGUAUUAGCUAGUUGGUGAGGUAAAGGCUCACCAAGGCGAUGAUACAUAGCCGACCUGAGAGGGUGAUCGGCCACAGUGGGACGGAGACACGGCCCAAACUCCUACGGGAGGGAGCAGUAGGGGAUCUUCGGCAAUGGACGAAAGUCUGACCGAGCAACGCCGCGUGAGUGAAGAAGGUUUUCGGAUCGUAAAACUCUGUUGGUAGAGAAGAACGUUGGUGAGAGUGGAAAGCUCAUCAAGUGACGGUAACUACCCAGAAAGGGACGGCUAACUACGUG